rnacentral:tRNA from 1 species
GGGAGCUGGGGCAGGCAUUCUUCGCUUCGGCGAUGGUGUCGCUGGUGAUCAGUGCGACGUUCGAUUCGUUGAGCUUUCC